GCGUCGGUGGUGCAACGGUUUAGCACAUGCACUCCUGGAACGAGUAAGGUCUGGGUUCGAAUACCGGCUGACGCA